UCUUCUCCUGGAAUGAAAGCCUCGCCAAUCUGUCAUUGUUACUAAGCUAGGUCGGUGGGACUUUCGUUCGAUUAGAAGA
rfam:Strongylocentrotus purpuratus Contig130377_fixed, whole genome shotgun sequence.